UAAUUAAUAUUUCAUUAUUGAUAUUUUUCAAAUAAGAGAACGUUACAGAAUAGAAUGUUAAGAAACAAAGAAAGAAAAAAGAAAGAAAGAGAAAAAAUUGUUUUAUUUUAAAGAUGGUUCUGAGGGAGAAGCCCAAGCAGACAUCUGACCUCACUUCCUCCACAGACCCAGAAGCCCUGACCCUUCCGGAAGGGUCCCUUUCAUAAACCAACCAGCCACCAGUAGAUUCAACGAGAGAGAGAGAGAGAGAGUGUUCCUGCUCUCGUUCAUUAGCUACAUCUUAGGCCAUUUAAAUAGUUGUUGAUACUGUCAACCUUUUGAUUUAUUUUUGCCUCUGUGUUCAUUAAACAGAGUUUGACCAGGGUGAUAUGCCAAUACUUCAUGUGCCCUCUAUUUAUCUUUUCAAUUCAUCUAUAUAAUAAAACUCUAAGUUCUUUGUUUA